UGUGAGCGAAGCAAUGAGAACACAACAUACCCUCUAAGUAUACUGCCGGGCUUAUUAACACAAAUCUUAGCUCAAUGUUGAUGGGGUUGAGAAGUAAAUUUGUUCAGUUGAAUAAUUCUUUAAUAUACCGUAAUAAUUUUUUGAUAUACACACACGUUCACUGCUCUUUGGGCACUCAAAUUAGCAGAAAUUACUAUAUUGCUAAAAAACCUAAAAAGAGAAGGAAAUUGUUGUAUGAGCAGCACGUUUUAAUUCAAGCGAGAAAAGGUUUAUAGCUGGUUAUUUUACUUAGCAAGCCGAAUUUUAUCAAAAAUUGAAAGACGAGGAAAUUUGUAAAAAUAAUAAACCGUUAGAAUUUGACGCGCUUUAUCGGCGCUUUGUAAAACUUGUCCAUCCAGACAUCUGGCAAAGAGAAGGAAAACACUUCCUAGAAACAAACUCAAAAUCUUUACAAAAGAUGUCCGAGUUGAUUUGUAAACUAAAAACAAAGAAUAUAUUUCCAACUUUUUUUUUAGGCAAACCGCAUUAUCCGGAGGCUGAAAAUAUUUUCCUGCCCUUUUACAUACAUACGACUGCUAAAGAAGAAUUUGGGUCUUUCCCUAGAACAAGAAAACUUGUACACUUUAAAACGUUUCUGAACGGCAACGAUUGCCGUAAAGACGUUGCUAACUCGUUUGAAGAAUUAUUUUCUAGCUGUCAAAUCGAACCAACCAAAUUUCUGUGGGGAACUAAGUUUUGGGGAACUGAAGUUUGAAUUCACUAAUGAAG